UAAAUUAUCCAACGUUUUAUCCACUGCCUUAUCUAUUAUUUCCCCAGCCUUUUCCUUAAGAAGCAGCAAGAAUUCAUUGUCAUUCAUAUUCUGAACUCUCUCUUUCAGUGAAUCCUUUUGCUCCCUGUCUUGAUCAGCCUGUAUGUUGUCUGUACUGCUGUUUUCCUUCCCUUUAUAAUCAGUGUUGUUUUUCCUUCUUUUUGUUUCUCUAUUUAUCUUUGGAUCAUCCUGCAUAUGAUCCUCUUCACUAUCUUCUC
rnacentral:lncRNA from 1 species